GAUGAACGCUGGCGGCAUGCCUAAUACAUGCAAGUCGAGCGAACCGAUGAGGAGCUUGCUCCCCUGACGUUAGCGCCGGACGGGUGCGUACCACGUGGUUAACAUACCUCUCAGAAUGGGAUACCUUCGGGAAACCGGAGCUACUACCGGAUAAUAUAUUGAACUGCAUGGUUCAAUAGUGAAAGACGGUUUUUCUGUCACUUAUAGAUGGCCCCGCGCCGCAUUAGCUAGUUGGUAAGGUAACGGCUUACCAAGGCAACGAUGCGUAACCGACCUGAGAGGGUGAACGGCCACACGGGAACUGAGACACAGUACAGACACCGACGGGGGGCAGCAGUAGGGAAUCUUCCGGGAGGGACGAAUGCGUAAUGGUGCAACACCGCGGGAAUGAUGAUGGUCUUCUGAUGGGAGAACGCUGUAAGUAGGGAAGAAGAAAAGUUCAAGUAACUAUGCACAUCUUGACGGUACCGAAUCAGAAAGCCACGGCUAACUACGUG
rnacentral:rRNA from 1 species